AUGCCAUCAGAAUGUGCUUGGCACAGUGGAUCAGAUUUCUCUGGGCUCAGGUGCUAAUUUAUGCUGCCACACCAUUUUUCCCCCUGACUUCACUGCCAGACACUGCUCAGCUCUCCAAGGGCCAAUCCCGUUCACUGGUAGGACAAAGUAUUCGCUCUACAAUACGUUUCCCUGCCUCCUCCUCCUUGUCGUUUUUCAGACCAUGGCAGACAACCACAGGUUAUCUGGAGUUCUUCUAAGGUGCCCUGCGGUUAUGGAGACAUGCAGUACCAGAAAAUCUUCUGCAAGAGGUCCAAACAGUUGAUGGUUAAGGUCUACGAGCCCUACACCACUACUGUCAGUCUUAUCCAGCUGGCCGUACACCGCAAACAGGACAAGACCAUUCAUUGAUCUAGACAGGAGACUUGCAGUACAAAACAGUCUUCAACAAGAGGUCGAAGCAGUGGGUGGUGAAGAAAGUGUACGAGGGGCUUGUCCACCUGGCUGUGGAGUGCAGAAGGGACCAGACGGUUGUCUACAAGGAGCCAGAGUCACAGACUCCCCAAACACAACAUCCCUGCCAACAUCACCACAGCGCCAAAGCCUGCCAUACCCGCUGCCAUUAUCCAACACAAGAAGAGGUUCACCAGCUGAAGAACGUUCUGGAACCUGCCUGGAACAUUCAACUAACACAACAUCCAUAUACAGUUAUGAUGGUGUAUAAUAUAGAAUGCUUAGUAUGCUCACAACGUCAUUGUGGUAUAGAUAUUACUAGGUGUUGUACAUAUGUAUAUAGUGGUGUUCUAUAUCAUAUUUUUUUACAUGUGUACUGACAAGUGACUAAAUUAUUCCAACUGCAUCAGAAACCAAUAGGGUUGACUUCAACAUCUUGGUAAAUUGUGAAAUUCAUGAAAUGUAUUUGGAUAAAUUAGCUUCAGUCUUACUGCUACAACAAAUGAGGCAGGCAGUUUGUUUAUCAUUAAACUUGAAUUUGUUGGAAAGUAAACAUGUUCUAAUAAAACAGGAGAUUAGUCUGUCAAUAUAGCAUAUAAGUAGACAUGUCUUGUAUUCAAGACAAAGUUUAUUUGCUUUGGAGACUGGGUGAGUUUACACAACAGUAUGCAGGAACAGUUAUGGCAAUGUAUGACAUAUACAGUAGAAAAAAUGUACUACUAACACUUAUAAUAAAUACUACAGUCCUACAAUGGGAAUACUUGCAUGUAGUGCAGUGAGGUGUUCUGAGUCACUUUGACAUAAGGGGAGAUUUGUUAUUACGGCACCUUUCACAUCUCCUCUUGAGUCAUCAACUUCUUUGUAUCCAAGCGGUAUUGUCUCUGAGAAAAAUGUA